rnacentral:rRNA from 1 species
UACGAAGGGGGCUAGCGUUGUUCGGAAUCACUGGGCGUAAAGGGCGCGUAGGCGGCUUUGUAAGUCGGGGGUGAAAGCCUGUGGCUCAACCACAGAAUUGCCUUCGAUACUGCAUGGCUUGAGACCGGAAGAGGUAAGUGGAACUGCGAGUGUAGAGGUGAAAUUCGUAGAUAUUCGCAAGAACACCGGUGGCGAAGGCGGCUCUCUGGACCGAGACUGACGCUGAGGCGCGAAAGCGUGGGGAGCAAACAGG